ensembl:miRNA mir-392 ncRNA
UUUUUGAAAAUCUCGCAGACGUGUUCAGUCAGCAUUCGUGGUUGAGGAUAUCGAACACAAAAAAAGAUAUCAUCGAUCACGUGUGAUGACAGAUUUUCUGCGACUAACAG